CCGGAAUAGCUCAGUUGGUAGAGCAGAGGACUGAA
rnacentral:tRNA from 2 species